UGAGAAGGGAGACCAUACAACAAGAUGC
rnacentral:piRNA from 1 species